CAUGAGCAAAAUCUCAACUUUAUUAGAAGAGACGCAUUUAUUAGAUAAAAAGCCAGUUCAUGCUUUUACAGUAUGAAAAUUGGUGAUUUAUAAUAACUUAGCAAAUCGCAAAGUGAAAACAGGCGAUAAAUCAUUCAAGUUUCUGACCUAUCAGCUUUCGACGGUAUGGUAUUGGCUUACCGUGGCAGUGACGGUUAACGGGGGAUUAGGGUUCGAUUCCGGAGAGGGAGCCUGAGAAACGGCUACCACAUCUAAGGAAGGCAGCAGGCGCGCAAAUUACCCAAUUCUAACAGUUUGAGAGAGGUAGUAACAAGAAAUAACAAUACAAGGCAGUUAAAAUGCUUUGUAAUUGGAAUGAUAGAAAUUUAAACCCUUUUUAAAGUAUCAAUUGGAGGGCAAGUCUGGUGCCAGCAGCCGCGGUAAUUCCAGCUCCAAUAGCGUAUAUUAAAAUUGUUGCAGUUAAAAAGCUCGUAGUUGAAGUUCUGCUGAAAGUAACCGGUCUGCUUUUAAUAAAAGUGGUAUCUUGGUAUGUAUUUAGCAAUGAUGUCCUUUGAAGUGUUUUUUACUUUAUUGUAAUAAAGCAUAUUCAGGACUUUUACUUUGAGAAAAUUAGAGUGUUUCUAGCAGGCUAACGCUUUGAAUACUGCAGCAUGGAAAUAAUAAGAAA
rnacentral:rRNA from 1 species